AACGAACGCUGGCGGCAUGCCUAACACAUGCAAGUCGAACGAGAUCCUUCGGGGUCUAGUGGCGCACGGGUGCGUAACGCGUGGGAAUCUGCCCUUGGGUCCGGAAUAACAGUUAGAAAUGACUGCUAAUACCGGAUGAUGACGUAGGUCCAAAGAUUUAUCGCCCGAGGAUGAGCCCGCGUAGGAUUAGCUAGUUGGUGGGGUAAAGGCCCACCAAGGCGACGAUCCUUAGCUGGUCUGAGAGGAUGAUCAGCCACACUGGGACUGAGACACGGCCCAGACUCCUACGGGAGGCAGCAGUGGGGAAUAUUGGACAAUGGGCGAAAGCCUGAUCCAGCAAUGCCGCGUGAGUGAUGAAGGCCUUAGGGUUGUAAAGCUCUUUUACCCGGGAUGAUAAUGACAGUACCGGGAGAAUAAGCUCCGGCUAACUCCGUGCCAGCCGCCGCCGUAA
rnacentral:rRNA from 1 species